rnacentral:lncRNA from 1 species
AACCAUGCUAGAUGUUGUGUUCAUGCUGGGGAAUGAAACGAAUCUUCCACAUCCAAAAAAGGCAGCGUUUAGCUUCAAAACCGGCGGUCCAGAUUCUUCAAUGUCUAGAGGAGCUUCCUCUGUAAAUGAUAUAACAGUAACAGUUAUUGAAGCUCGUUGAGUUUGCACUUUUUAGGCUCUUGUAGAGAUUUUGCUUUACUCUAUAAAGUAUUUGUACUCAAAUCGAGAUUUCUUUGUACGUGAAGAUUUUAAAUUCAAAUUCAAAUCCCAGAAUCCAAACGAGGCCCAAAUGUUUAAAUUUUAGAUCAAACAUGAAGACGUGUGAGUAACAAAUUGAAAUUCUCAGUUGUAAACAAAAAUCUUGGCCGUGAUAGGUAGCGUGCGAAUUCCCCUUCUUAACAAAACAAGUUUUAGUUUUUAAUUUUUUUUAUUACAAAAAUAAGCUUGGAAUUUUGACAAAAGUUAGAACUUAUAAAUUGAUAUGCACCAAUUCAUUUAUUUUGGAUUCAUAAACAUAGAAAUUUUGAAUUUUCAUGUGAAAAAAAUUUGGAAUUUGGGACUCCAAGUGUUUUGAAUUCUAUGUAAAUGAAUGUCAUUUCUAAAUUUUUAUGAGUGGGAGUUUAAAAAUAAAAAAUUCCUAUUCAUAUUCGAUCAUUCUUGUAGUUUAACCAAACAAAAAAAAAAAUUCAAAUUCUUUACAAAUUCUAAAAAAUAAAAUUCCGUAAUUUUGAAAUUCCUUAAUAAUUUUAAAUUUCUUUGUCCAGUGUAAAGCUAAAUUGAAAUUCUCAGUUUUCGAUAACUAUGCUGGUAGCACACUAAUGACUUUUUUGUUAAAUUAUUAUUGAUACUAAAUUAUUGGAGACCACAUGCUAAUGACUUAGGUUAUAAAACAUUUCUUCUUCUUUCAACGAUGUCUUCUUAUGUGGACCCAAAAAAUGAUGUCCUCAUAUAUUAUAACACUUCAGACAAUAUACUGUAAUUUUAGGCCUAAUCGGAUAAAUGGUCAUCGUGGUCAUAAGGUAUUCGGAUGAUAGCCCAUGUGGUAAAAAAAGUCGGAUUUAAACCCCUGUGGUAUAAAUCUGUUAGGAUUUAUGCCCUUAUGUUAAAUAAUGCUGACGUGGCUGCCACAUAUAUGCCACGUGGCUACCAAAUGUCUGCCACAUGGCAAAAAUAAUAAUUUUUAAUUUAAAAAAAAAAAACCUGAAUUUUUACAAAAAAAAAAAAAAAACCCAGAUCUACAAGAAGAACAAGAAGAAGAAGGAAAAGGGAGAGGGAGGAGGGUCGCGCGGGGAGAGGGCUCCGACGAGGGGGGAGUUGGUCUCCGGCGGGAAGAAGAAGAAGAAGAAGAAGGGAGGAGUCGCGCGGGGAGACCGGCGGGAAGAAGAAGAAGAAGGAAGAAGGAGAGGGAGGAGGGUCGCGCAGGGAGAGGGCUCUGGCGGGGGGGGGGGGAAUGGGCAGAGGGCGGGGGGAGCUUCUGGGUUUUUGUUUUUUUUUUUGGUUGUAAAAAUUCAGGUUUUAAAAAAAAAUUAAAAAUUAUUAUUUUUGCCACGUGGCAGACAUUUGGCAGCCACGUGACAUAUAUGUGGCAGCCACGUCAACAUUAUUUAACAGAAGAGCAUAAAUCCUAAUAGACUUAGAUCACAGGGCUUUAAAUCCUAACAGACUUAGACCACAGAGGUUUAAAUCCGAAUUUUUUUACCACAGGAGCUAUCAUCCGAAUACCUUAUGACCAGGGGAACCAUUUAUCCGAUUAGGCCGUAAUUUUAUGCUUAUCUACACUCUUAUUUUUUUAAUGAUUUUAAUAGUCACCUCGCAGCACUGAAGGCAAUUAUAUUACUUUAUUUUAAAGUAGGGGUGGUGCUGUGCAAUUUUGGGGCAGAUUUUAGUUUAUUUAUGAAAUUACCACUGAGUCUAUCUGCCCCCUGAUUUAACGUUAUUUGCAAAAUUGCCACUGGGCUUCAGAAUGGGUUUUGGGUCUUUGGGCAGAAUUUUCGGUUUUGCGAUCCACGCGUUGAUGAUCGCUGUGUAAGAUCGCCGAUUUGGUGAGGGGAUGGGACAAAAACGGAAAGCCAAACCUCCGCCACAAACGAAGUCACGAACGCCACUCUCACUCACCCUCCACCGUUGCACACGAACCCAAUCAUAAUUCUGAAAUCCAAACACGACCUAGAUGGUAAUCCUUCAGAGAAUGGCAAUGGCCACUUCUUCUUCCUUCCUCUCAGUCCCUCUCCUAAAGGCCUCUUCUUUGCUUUCCCCAGUUAAACACUGCGCUUCGCCACUGAGCUCCGAGUUCAGGGCUCUGUCCCUCUACGGCGGUAGAGAUGGAGUCUCUGUUGGAAUAUGAGUAUAAAAACAUGAUUGUGGAUUAGCUAUUAUAUUGAAUGAAUUUUGAAUGGAAAAGUCUUGAUAAAGUGUUUGUGUAAAUCCUAUUUCUUGUAGGAUUAUGAGUGGUUUUAGUGUUCCUUUGGGAAAAGGUUUUGGAUCCUUCUCGGAUUGAUCUUGUGCACUCAUUGUGCAAAAGGGUUUCUGUUUUAGAGUCCAACACUAAUUCUAAUAGGAGAAUGUGUUGGAUUAAUGCUGUAUAUAACCACAAUCACUGCUCUUGCAAAGAUACGGCUCAUAUUGUGUUGAAUACCUAUUGUUCAAAGAGCUCUCUAGUUUUGCUAAAGAGGAGAAGAUUGUCUGGUGGUGAAGCUGCUAUGGCUUCUUCGAGUUCAAGUUCUGCAGGUAUGUUUUGAUUGGUUUAAUGCUGAGAUUUAUGGUUAUGUUGUUCACAUUGUUUGUUGGUAGUAUUGGUGAUUUAUUGGCAUAUCUAUGAUCUGGCAUGUUAUUCUUACAUGUGGUAUCAGAGCCUGGACAGAUUAUUGCCAUUAAGUUCGAAAUUUUGUACAACAAUUUGGACAAGAAACCAUAAUCUUAAAACCCAGAAACGCAUAACCUGUUUUUGAGCAUAACAGUAAAAAACGACACCGUUUAAAAAAAAAAAAAAAAUUUAAAUUUAUACCGUUAUGAUCGCCGGGUUUGCGUCUUUUGCUUUGCCUUGCAUCUUUUCUUUUCAUGGUCUCUGGGUAUAUGGCGAUUCAAUGAAUGAUUCUUCUGAUUCUCUCUGAUUCUUCUCGUGUCAAUUUCAUUCAUUGAUUUCUCCAAACAGGUAUGUCUGCAAUCUUGAAACUUGAAUUUAGGUUAAAAAGCUUAUUUGAACUAGAGAACACCGUAUAUAUGCAAAUUUGUUAGCAUCUCGCCAAUUUGAAUCAAAAUUAUCUAAAUGGAUAAACUGAAGAAUUAUUUUAAUGUUUCCGCUGCUAAUUUGUUUGGGUUUAUUGAAUUUUUUGAUUUUCAAUGCAUGUGGUGUGAUAUUUGAAUAUCAUCCCUUUCGAGCAUGAUUCUUGAAUACAAUCUUCUGUGAGUUGUUUACUCUAUACAUGGUUGUCUUUAUUAAAGUUUGAGACCAUGUGUAUGACAAAAUUGACUCAUUAUGAGGAUUACAUAGUGAAAUAGAUGGAAAUCAUGAAUCCCGAAAAGAUUCAAUGUGAUGAUUUCAUUGUUAUCUUCUGCAGUUUCACUAAAAACAAUGAAUUUGGCUGCUGUACCUAUACUCACUGGUGGGAGCAAUUACAAAAAAUGGAGAAGGGAAAUGGAAUUGCUCUUGACAUUAAAUGAGUAUGAUAUAGCACUUGAUACACCACAACCUGCGCCUCUUACUGAUAAGAGUUCAAAGGCUGAGAAGGUUGAGUUCGAAAGAUGGACAAGAGCUAAUAAAGUGGCAUUAUCCAUUUUGGAGAGCGGGAUGACGGACACUGUUCGUGGAGGUAUCAAAAGGUGUGAUCUAGCAAAAGAUUAUUUCAAAGCUAUUGAGAGCAAAUUCAAGGAAUCACAAAAGGCUGAGAUUGCUCAGUAUAUGACCCUUCUCACAACUUACAAAUUUGAAGGUGGUGGUUCAGUCAGAGAUCACAUUAUGAGGAUGACCGAUGCGGCUGAGAAGCUUAAUUCAUUAGACAUGAACAUUUGUGAAAAGCAGCUAGUGUUCAUGAUUCUGCAAGCGCUUCCUUUGAAGUUCAGUCAAUUAAAAGUCUCUUACAACACUCAAGAUAAGUCAUGGACAGUGGAUGAACUGAUAUCUCAAUGUGUUCAAGAGGAAAAUCGACAGAAGCAAGACAAAGGAAAGGAAGCUGAGACCAUCAAUUUUGUGCAGACUUCUAAAAGGAGGGAUCUCAAUGCAAAUUCUGGUAAAUCUCCUCAAUUCAAACAUCCUGAUAAAUCUUUUGUGUCUGCUAAGAAUUCCCAUUCCUCUAAAUCUAAUAAUCUUAAAGUUAAAACUAAAAACAUUGAAAAGGUUAGGUGUCAUCAUUGCAAAACUAAAGGUCAUUAUAGAAAAGAUUGUGAAAUAUUCAAAGAAUGGCUUAGGGCUAAAGGUAGAGAACUAAUGUAUAUGUCUGUGAGGAAUCAAAUCUCAUUGAAAUUCCGGCAAAUUCCUGGUGGUUUGAUACUGGUGCAUCUGUGCAUAUAACCAAUUCACUGCAUGGUUUUGAAAAACAAAAACAAACAAAUGAUUAUAACGUUUUUGUUGGUGAAGGAACCAGAGUUGUAGUUGAAUCGAUAGGGAAAGUGAAACUAAAAUUGGCUUCUGAAUUUGUGUUGGAACUGUCCAAUGUUUUAUAUGUGCCUGCAAUGAGAAGAAGUUUAAUCUCUGCAUCUAAGUUAGUAGCUGAAGGUGUUAUUUUCAUAGGUGAUAAAGAAUGCAUCAAAUUUUUUUGUAGGGGAGCCUUGAUAGGAAAAGCAGUUUUGCAUGAUCAGUUAUGGAAAAUGCAGUGCACAUUGUUGGACAAUGAGUUAAGUGUUUUAAAUACGACUGCCAAAAGAAUGCAAAAUUUUGACAACUCUUAUAUGUUGUGGCAUAAAAGACUAGGACAUAUUUCGAAGGACAGGAUCAUGCAAUUAUCAAAAUUAAAUUUCAUACCUGCUUUAGAUUUUCAUAAUGCAUCUGAAUGCAUUGACUGUAUGAAGGGUAAAACCACCAACUUUAGGAAAAUGGAUGCCAAUAGAAGUAAAAAUUUGCUUGAGAUUAUACACACCGAUGUUUGUGGACCUUUUCCUAUCAAAACUAUUUGUGGAAAUUCAUACUUUGUGAGUUUUAUAGAUGAUUUCUCCAGACAUGGUUACAUAUUUCUAAUAAAAGAAAAGUCAGCAGUUCUUGAGUGUUUCAAAAUUUUUAAAUGUGAGGUAGAAAAACAACUAAACCUAGUGAUUAAGAUUGUUAGAUCAGAUAGAGGAGGGGAAUACUUUGGCAGGCACACAGAAGCAGGACAACAAAAGGGUCAUUUUGCACGGUUUCUUGAGCAGCAAGGUAUUGUGGCCCAGUAUACUACUCCGGGAACACCCCAACAGAAUGGAGUGGCUGAGAGAAGAAACCGAACCUUGAUGGGAAUGGUUAGAAGUCUCAUUUCAAGAUCUAAGCUGCCUGGUUUUCUGUGGGGAGAAGCAUUGAGGACAUCAAACUAUGUGUUGAACCGAGUGCCUACAAAAUCAGUGCCAAAAACACCUUUUGAGCUAUGGACUGGCAGAACACCAAGUUUUCAUCAUUUUCAUGUGUGGGGUUGCAAAGCAGAAGCUAGGUUUUACAACCCAAAUGAAAGGAAGCUCGAUUCUAGAACCAAUUCAUGCUACUUUGUGGGAUAUUCAGAGAAAUCGAAGGGUUUCAAGUUUUAUUGUCCUCGAGCACAGACAAGAAUUCAAGAGACUCACAAUGCAGUUUUCUUAGAAGACCAAGAUGUAUCAGACUUAGUGCAUGACACUUUUGAGUUUGAAGAAUCAGAACAACUCGUUGGCUCGGUUCCAAUGGCCUACAACCAUAUUUCAGUAUUGCCUAGAAAUCAGACAGAGGAAGAAGAUCUUGAUGAAGAGAUGACACAUGAAAUAGUUGCUGAAAUACAAAAUGAACAUGGAGAUACCUUUUCUACACGAAAUAUACCCCUAAGUGCUCCAAGUUCUCCCAUUGAGAAAGAUACAUGUCCAGUAAAUGAUCAAUUGAAUCUGAGGAAAUCAAGUAGAGCCAAGAAACCUGCAAUUUCAGCCGAUUAUGUCUAUCUCCAGGAGGCAGAAUUUGACAUAGGUGAUAUAGAUGAUCCAGCCACUUAUCAACAAGCAAUUCAAUGUUCUCAAGCUGCAUUAUGGAAGAAAGCAAUGAUGGAAGAGCUAGAUUCCAUGGCCAAGAACAAAGUAUGGACCCUUGUGAACUCCAAUUCAAAUGCUAAAACCAAUAGGUUGCAAGUGGGUCUACAAAACUAAAAGGGAUGCUGCUGCAGGGAGCAUAGAGAGAUACAAGGCUCGGUUAGUAGCCAAAGGCUUUACUCAGAGAGAAGGGAUUGAUUACAAUGACACGUUUUCACCUGUUUCUUCCAAAGAUUCUAUGAGGAUCAUCAUGGCUUUGACAUCUCAUUUUGAUCUGGAGCUACACCAGAUGGAUGUUAAAACCGCCUUUUUGAAUGGUGAUUUAGAGGAAGACAUAUACAUGGUCCAACCUCCUGGAUUUUCUGAAAGGGGGAAAGAUAAUAUGGUCUGCAAGCUAAACAAGUCAAUUUAUGGACUUAAACAAGCAUCUAGGCAGUGGUUCCUCAAAUUUGAUCAGGUAGUUACNCAAGUGUUCUGCUACACUUAAACCAUCCUUGUAUUCACAUGAUGAGCUCUUUGAUCAAGAAUGCUUUUUAGCUGGAGUUUUCUUCUCGAACAAGGACAAGCUUGCCAAAACUCGCGCAUUGGCAUUGACACAUGGUGAAACACUAUCGUCCACCCAUUGUCUAAUUGUACCAAUAGCCUUACGAUUCAUUUUCCACCGGCACGAACAUGCUCUCGGGCUGGCGGCAUCUCCUUCAAUUGGCUCAUGCAGAUCCUUGCAAUAAAGAGGCCUUCAUCCUUGGCUUUCAUGUUACCCAAUUGGAGUUGGUGAGUUUGAUCAUAGUGCCACUUCCUUCCAUCCGAGUACGAGCCAACUUGGCUCUGAUACCACUUGUAGGAAUGUCAUACUACAAGAUAGAGAAUGCACAAGGUAAAGUAGAAAAUGGACACCAAAAUUUAUGUGGUCGGCAAUUUAGCCUACGUCCAUAAGACAAGGAUCAAUCUACUAUAUGAAAAAGUGAGUACAACAAGAUAUCACCAAGCCAAAGACAAGGCUUGAUGGACAAGAAAGUAUGACACACACUUUCUAUUACUCUAAACUUCACUCACAAUGUGUAGUGGAACACUCUCACUCUCACUCUUGGAGUGGAACUCUAGCUUUGGACUUGAUCCUUUGCUACUCACACUUGGUUCUUAAUUGGUUACAUCACACCCAUAUUUAUAGGUGAGAGCUUGACAUUCUACUAGUUUCUAUUUCCUUCUUCAAACCUCUAGUAUAGAAAAUUCUAGACUAGCCACAUAAUUGUAGCUUCUAGAUCUUUCCAUUUGCAACCAAGGAAGCUAGUACUCUCUAACUUCUUCCAUCAACUUAAUAACAUGCAAGAAUUGUCUAACAUGCUCCCGCCUCCUCUCUUGCUUACUAGAAUAAUCUAGAACAUUGAUCAUAGGCUGGACCAUAUACCAACAAGGAGUUCUCUCAAUAGGUUCUGAUGGAAACCUAGUGCUGCAAGCCAAUACUAGCCAAGGCCUUAUUCCUCUGUGGUCAACAAAUGUUUGAUAUCAUCAGAGGCAACGUAAUAUUUUUGCGCAUUCUUGAUUCAGGAACCUUGGCGCCAGCUUGGCAGAGCACUGAUCACCGCGAAAUUCUUCUUCCGAAUAUGAAAGCCGUGGACAGAAGAAGUGGCAUAAACCGGUUCCUCACGUGUGGAACUGGACAAUGAUCCUGGACGGGGAAUGUUUCGUUGAGAAUGGACCGAAUGGAUCGCCUCAGUUGAUCUUGUACAAGGAUGACGCUAAGUAGUCAGGCAGUGGAACGGGAUUCAAUGGCGGCAUACCUGCCAUGCAUCGGAGCGUUGUGUUUAAGAUCAAUUUCUGAACAACAAAGAAAUUUCUGUGCAGUGGACUGUUCCGACUUUUAUUUACUCGGUGAUCACAAUGACGGGUCGGGACUCAACCAGCAUCAUGGCAGGACCAGCACACCAGUGGGUUUCGCUUUGGUCCGCACCUUGGAUGCCUGUGACAGCUAUGCAAGUGUGGUCAAUUUGGCAAUUGCAAUCCUUACACCAACAGUGGUUCAACUGCACAUGCUACCCGGAUAUGAACCAACCUCACCGCAGGAUUGGGAUUUAAGAGAUGGGACAGAUGGGUGCAAGAGGCCGCAGGGUUCGCCGUCCAUGUGCAGGAACGGCAAGGAUUUUGUGAAGAUGGAAAAUGUAAAGGUUCCAGACACGUCCUCUAUAAAAUUGGAGAAUAAUUUGAGCUUAGAAGCGUGUGAGGAGGAGUGCUUGAAGAACUGCUCGUGCUUGGCAUAUGCGAGUGCAGAUGUGAGGAAUGGAGGGACUGGAUGCAUGACAUGGUAUAGAGAUUUGAUGGAUACUAAGCAGUUCACAGAAGGCGGGCAAGAUUUGUACAUUCGCGUUGAUGCAGUAGUUUUAGGUACCUUAUUUUCCUACAGAUUGCGUCAAUUACAUGUUUCAAAUUCAUACCAUUCAUAGCACUGGUGAAUUGAUCUUUUUUUCAUUUUUUCAGCUCAGUAUAAAAACAAGUCAGGAGGAGGGUAUUUUUCCGGGAGAAGGCGACUUGCUAUUAUAUUGGUAGUGUCAAUUUCUGUCGCCUCAUUGCUCAUCCUCGCAGUUCUAUAUUGGUUCAGGAAAAGGAGAAGGAAAGGUAUGCGAAAAGGAAAAGUUUCCCCUUCUAUCGUCUUGUAAAUUUGUUUGCAGCUUUAUUUCAGCUCAAAUUUCAUUUUCUUUGUGAAAUUUUUUAUACCCUGAAAUUUCAAUGGAAUUGAAACAGGGAGAGGAGGAGAACCCAGAUUUCUGAACGAUCCCGCUGCUUCUCGUGUACGAAGCUAUGAAGAUUUGCCAACAAAAAAUGAGGUUGAUGAACACAGAGGAGACACAGAUUUACCUUUUUUCGAUUUAACCACUGUGGUUGCAGCCACAGAAAACUUCUCUUCUGCUAACAAGCUUGGACAUGGCGGCUUCGGCACGGUAUACAAGGUACUUUCCCUAGAUCAUUUUGAGUGUCUCAGCGUUGUGUGGCUUCAAAUAAAAUAUGAAAUACGCUUCCGUGUACUUUGUUUACUCUGCUGCAAAUAUACCAAUACAUAAGCUCUGUGACAUUGAGGCAGAUAAGACAGAAUUGGAUGUAAACAUUAUAUCGAUCUGAAGUUGCCAUUAAGAUUGUCGAGUCUUCACUGUGAUUUCAGGGAUGUCUAGCUGAUGGACAGGAUAUAGCUGUCAAAAGAUUAUCGAGAAAUUCAGGACAAGGCGUAGAUGAAUUCAAGAACGAAGUAAUGCUUAUAGCAAAGCUUCAGCAUAGAAAUCUUGUUAGGCUUUUGGGUUGCAGCAUAUAUAAAGAAGAGAGGAUGCUAAUCUAUGAAUACAUGCCGAAUCGCAGCUUGGACUUAUGCAUUUUCGGUAUGCAAUCUAUGAAUACAUGCUGAAAUUAAGAAAUCCUAAACUUGUAGCUAAUAGAAGUUUUUAUGUGUUGUGUUCAGAUAAAGACAGAAAGUCGUUGUUAGAUUGGAGAAAGCGGUUUCAAAUUAUCAUUGGGAUUGCUCGAGGCGUCCUAUAUCUUCAUCAAGAUUCGAGACUAAAAAUAUUCCACAGGGAUUUGAAAGCAAGCAAUGUUUUACUGGAUGGUUCAAUGAAUCCAAAAAUAUCACAUUUUGGCAUGGCAAGAAUGUUUGGGGAUGACCAAAUUGAAGCAAACACGAAUAGAGUUGUUGGCACCUAGUAAUUCUCUCCUCUCACUUGAAAUAAAACUCUGGAGUUGAUAUUUUUUUUAGUACUGAUAAUGUGUGAUUGCAGUGGUUACAGGUCACCAGAGUAUGCUAUGGAUGGGCUAUAUUCUACAAAAUCCGAUGUGUUUAGCUUCGGAGUCUUGGCACUAGAGAUCAUUAGCGGCAGAAAGAACAAUUUCCAAUUCGAAAACACCUUUCUGAAUUUGGUUGGACUUGUAAGUAGACAAAUAAUUUUUUAGACAUUGAAUCUAACUCUUGCAUAGUCCAAUGAUCUAAACAUUGUGCUCACACUUGUUUCAGAUAUGGGACUUGUGGACAGAAGGAAAAGUCUUGGACAUAAUUGAUUCAUCACUGAACCAGUCGUAUUCGACUCAUGAAGUUAUGAGAUGCAUUUAGAUUGGGCUCUUGUGCGUGCAAGAAAACGCAACGGACCGGCCAGCCAUGCUAGAUGUUGUAUUCAUGCUGGGGAAUGAAACGAAUCUUCCACAUCCAAAAAGGCAGCGUCUAGCUUCAAAACCGGCGGUCCAGAUUCUUCAACGUCUAGAGGAGCUUCCUCUGUAAAUGAUAUAACAGUAACAGUUAUUGAAGCUCGUUGAGUUUGCACUUUUUAGGCCCUUGUAGAGAUUUUGCUUUACUUCUUAAAGUAUUUGUACUCAAAUCGAGAUUUCUUUGUAUGUGAGGAUUUUAAAUUCAAAUUCAAAUCC